CGGACACCAUAGUCCGUUGGGAUGUGGUCCUUCGGGACUGAACCGUAAG
rnacentral:ncRNA from 1 species